rnacentral:miRNA from 2 species
AGGACAACUACGACACUAAGGG